CUCCGCCUCCUAGGGUUUUAUUCUUCCAUCAUAAGUUUCUGUUCUCCAUCUCUAAAUCGGCUCUCAACUAUCUUCAACAUCAAGGUUCGGCUCCUCAAAGAUCUUCAGAUCAAGAUCUGUUGUUGCUUUGGUUAAUCUAUUCUUGGGAAACCCGUUUCCAGAUCUCAUUUCAUUCAGAAUAAUCGAUGCUUUACAUCAUGUUUUGUUGCUAUUCAAGAUCAUGGGAGAUGUCUUUGUAUUUGAUUCCAAAAGCCAUGCCAUUUUUGAAGGUAUGCAAUAUCUCAUAUUCUUUUAUUUAUCAUUAGCCUUUAUUUGAUUUAUAAAUUAAGAAAUCAUAUAUUUGAACUAUUGUAAUCAUCAUAAUUAGG